rnacentral:rRNA from 1 species
AGUGAACGCUGGCGGUAGGCCUAACACAUGCAAGUCGAACGGCAGCACAGUAAGAGCUUGCUCUUACGGGUGGCGAGUGGCGGACGGGUGAGGAAUACAUCGGAAUCUACUUUUUCGUGGGGGAUAACGUAGGGAAACUUACGCUAAUACCGCAUACGACCUACGGGUGAAAGCAGGGGAUCUUCGGACCUUGCGCGAUUGAAUGAGCCGAUGUCGGAUUAGCUAGUUGGCGGGGUAAAGGCCCACCAAGGCGACGAUCCGUAGCUGGUCUGAGAGGAUGAUCAGCCACACUGGAGCUGAGACACGGUCCAGACUCCUACGGGAGGCAGCAGUGGGGAAUAUUGGACAAUGGGCGCAAGCCUGAUCCAGCCAUACCGCGUGGGUGAAGAAGGCCUUCGGGUUGUAAAGCCCUUUUGUUGGGAAAGAAAAGCAGCAGGUUAACACCCCGCUGUUCUGACGGUACCCAAAGAAUAAGCACCGGCUAACUUCGUG